CCCGCGCUUUGGUUUAGAAUACCGGUUCAAGAAACCCGACCCACUUGAGCUGCCAGCGUGAGAGAGAGAGAGAGAGAGAGAGAGAGAGAGAGAGAGAGCGAUGGGGUUCCUCUUCCGAGUGAGGUUGGCGUCCUUCUUUGCGGGCGCCGCCGCGGCGUCCCUUGCUGGCUUCUGUCUCCUUUACAAGGAUUACAUGCUCGCCCACGACGCCAUCGCCCAACAGGCUAAAGGUGUUUAUGAAGAUUUUGAUGAACGAUUUGAAUCUCUUAACAAGCGUGUCACGGCAUUGGAAAAUCAGAAGAAAUCGGAGACCACAAAACCUGCAGAGAUUUUUGACUAGCUAGACAUGUUUGUUGCUUUUCAAGCAGCCAUUUUGCUUCCUCCAAGAUAACGAUGCUGAAGAAAUCACAACAUUCGAUUCGAGUUGGAUGUAAAAGAAGUCUUAAAAAUUUUAUUCAUGCACUUCGCAAUGUUGUUUUGGUGUUCUUCCAUUUUUGUACAAGGUGCAGCCAUUUCAACUAAUCAUCGAUGGCUGUCUGUCAUAAUUGCUAUCGGACGCAUACCACACGGUAAUGUAUACAUCCAAGAAGAUUGGUUUUUCGCUGU